GAUGAACGCUAGCUACAGGCUUAACACAUGCAAGUCGAGGGACCGACGCCCGGGUGAGUAACACGUAUCCAACCUGCCCUUUACUCGGGGAUAGCCUUUAGAAAGACAGAUUAAUACCCGUUAUACAGGAUGGGGAUGCGUUCCAGUUGGGUGUUGGUGAGGUAACGGCGCACCAAGCCGUCGAUGGAGAGGGGUGCUGAUAGGAAGGUCCCCCAGAUUGGAACUGGGAAACGGGCCAAAAUCCUACGGGAGGGAGCAGUGAGGAAGAGUGUUCAAUGGGGGCUAGCCUGAAACAGCCAAGUAGCGUGAAGGAUUAAGGCUUAUGGGUCGUAAACGUCUUUUAUAUAAGAAUAUGUGUUAUAUGAAUAAGGAGCGGCGAACUCCGUGCCAGCAGCCGCGGUAAUAC
rnacentral:rRNA from 1 species